CUUGAGAGUGGCUUCUGGUUCGGCUUGGCGCGUUCUGCUGUGCACGACGGCACGACCUCCUGCAGAAGCUGUCGCUCUUUGGCCGCCGUGAUUGCAACAACGCACAGUAGCCCGCCUCCGAUCGUCGAAGGUGCAAUUAUCAUUUCGUUCAAAACCUUGAGACAAGUCGGCAUAGUUUGGCGUUAUCAGAAUGACUUACUGGAGAGUAGCCGGCCUCACUUACCUACAGUUCUCAUCAAUAGCUGCAAGAGCCGUUAGGAACUCAGUGAAGAAAGAUGCACAUCAAAUGGCUUCAGCGGCUUCCUUGGAGUCCACCAUUAAAAUGGCUACAUGGAAGGAUGGAAAACCGAUCAAAAAAGAGACGUGAAGUAGCGGUUGGUCAAGACAGGACAGUAGUAACGAACGAAUAAACGUGUAAUGAACUUCA